rnacentral:rRNA from 1 species
UAUCCAGACUCCUACGGGAGGCAGCAGUGAGGAAUAUUGGUCAAUGGGCGGGAGCCUGAACCAGCCAAGUCGCGUGAGGGAUGACGGCCCUAUGGGUUGUAAACCUCUUUUGCCGGGGAGCAAAGUGCCGCACGUGUGCGGUUUGGAGAGUACCCGGAGAAAAAGCAUCGGCUAACUACGUGCCAGCAGCCGCGGUAAUACGUAGGGAGCAAGCGUUAUCCGGAUUUAUUGGGUGUAAAGGGUGCGUAGACGGGAAGGCAAGUUGGUUGUGAAAUCCCUCGGCUUAACGGAGGAACUUCAACCAAAACUAUCUUUCUUGAGUGCUGGAGAGGAAAGUGGAAUUCCUAGUGUAGCGGUGAAAUGCGUAGAUAUU